AGAUAGACAGCUGAAUGAUAGUCGGGCUGAAGACUCUACUUGACUAGCUGAGAGGAGGUGCAUGGCCGUCGUCAGUUCGUACUGUGAGCAUCCUGUUAAGUCAGGCAACGAGCGAGACCCACGCCAACAGUUGCCAGCUCGUCCUCCGGGAUGGUGGGGACACUGUUGGGACCGCCUCUGCUAAAGAGGAGGAAGGAAUGGGCAACGGUAGGUCAGCAUGCCCCGAAUUAUCUGGGCUACACGCGGGCUACAAUGGGUGGGACAAUGGGUAUCGACACCGAAAGGUGAAGGCAAUCUCCUAAACCCAUCCGUAGUUCGGAUUGUGGGCUGCAACUCGCUCACAUGAAGCUGGAAUCUGUAGUAAUCGUGUCUCAAAAUGGCACGGUGAAUAUGUCCCUGCUCCUU
rnacentral:rRNA from 1 species